rnacentral:tRNA from 1 species
GCUGCUAUGGCUCAGCAGGUAGAGCGUCGCCUUGGUAAGGCGGAGGUCACGGGUUCAAAUCCCGUUAGCAGCU